GACGAACGCUGGCGGCGUGCUUAACACAUGCAAGUCGAACGGAAAGGCCCUGCUUUUGUGGGGUGCUCGAGUGGCGAACGGGUGAGUAACACGUGAGUAACCUGCCCUUGGCUUUGGGAUAACUUCAGGAAACUGGGGCUAAUACCGGAUAGGAGCUCCUGCUGCAUGGUGGGGGUUGGAAAGUUUCGGCGGUUGGGGAUGGACUCGCGGCUUAUCAGCUUGUUGGUGGGGUAGUGGCUUACCAAGGCUUUGACGGGUAGCCGGCCUGAGAGGGUGACCGGCCACAUUGGGGCUGAGAUACGGGCCAGACUGCUACGGGAGGCAGCAGGGGGGAAUAUUGCGCAAUGGGCGGAAGUCUGAUGCAGCAACGCCGCGUGCGGGAUGAAGGCCUUCGGGUUGUAAAACGCUUUCGCCUGUGACGAAGGGUGAGUGACGGUAAUGGGUAAAGAAGCACCGGCUAACUACGUG
rnacentral:rRNA from 1 species